rnacentral:rRNA from 1 species
AGUGAACGCUGGCGGUAGGCCUAACACAUGCAAGUCGAACGAGUGGCGGACGGGUGAGUAAUACAUCGGAAUCUACCCUGUCGUGGGGGAUAACUUCGGGAAACGUACGCUAAUACCGCAUACUAUUGAAUGAGCCGAUGUCGGAUUAGCUAGUUGGUGGGGUAAAGGCUCACCAAGGCGACGAUCCGUAGCUGGUCUGAGAGGAUGAUCAGCCACACUGGAACUGAGACACGGCCCAGACUCCUACGGGAGGCAGCAGUGGGGAAUCUUCGGCAAUGGACGAAAGUCUGACCCAGCCACGCCGCGUGAGUGAAGAAGGUCUUCGGGUCGUAAAGCUCUGUUGGUAGAGAAGCGGUAUCUGAACAGAAAGCCACGGCUAACUACGUGCCAGCAGCCGCGGUAAUUC